AUGUAGCAGCUAAAAAGAAGAAUCAAGUGAAGAUUCAUCUGAUGAUAGUGAUGAAGAAGAAAAACCAAAAGCCAAAACACCAGUUAAAGCUGCUGUUGCUAAAAAAACUGAAGAAUCAUCAUCAUCAGAUGAUGAUGAUGACGAUGAAGAUGAAGAACCAGCCAAACCAAAACCAGCUGAAAAAAGAAAACGUGAAGAGGAUGCAGAUGAAAUUGCAGCUGAAGCAACACCAAACAAAGUUGCUAAAAAUAAUUAUGACAAUUUUGUAAAAGGUGGCUUCAAUGGUGACAAGUCAACACCAAAAAAUUCGCCAUUUCGACGAGUAAGGGAUGAAGAGAUCGAGCCAAUAAAAGCUGAGUUGUGUAAUAAUUCAUUUGAAGCUAAGAGAGGAGCUAGAGGUUCUUGGGGUGAAA